rnacentral:rRNA from 1 species
GACAGAGGUGCCGAGCGUUAGGCGGAAUCACUGGGCUUAAAGCGUGUGUAGGCGGAGGCCUAAGUACCUUGUGAAAUCCCACGGCUCAACCGUGGAACUGCUUGGUAUACUGGGUCUCUUGAGCCACCUAGGGGCAAGUGGAACAAACGGUGGAGCGGUGAAAUGCGUAGAUAUCGGAAGGAACGCCGGUGGCGAAAGCGACGUGCUGGACCUCUUCUGACGCUGAGGCGCGAAAGCUAGGGGAGCGAACGGG